rnacentral:rRNA from 1 species
GAUGAACGCUAGCUACAGGCUUAACACAUGCAAGUCGAGGGGCAGCAUGAACAUAGCUUGCUAUGUUUGAUGGCGACCGGCGCACGGGUGCGUAACACGUAUCCAAUCUGCCCGUUACUCGGGGAUAGCCUUCUGAAAGGAAGAUUAAUACCCGAUAGCAUUCAUUGGCGGCAUCGCUUUUGAAUUAAAGAUUUAUCGGUAACGGAUGAGGAUGCGUACGAUUAGCUAGUUGGCGGGGUAACGGCCCACCAAGGCGACGAUCGUUAGGGGUUCUGAGAGGAAGGUCCCCCACACUGGAACUGAGACACGGUCCAGACUCCUACGGGAGGCAGCAGUGAGGAAUAUUGGUCAAUGGGCGAGAGCCUGAACCAGCCAAGUAGCGUGAAGAAUGACUGCCCUACGGGUUGUAAACUUCUUUUGUUUGGGAAUAAAAGACGCUACGUGUAGCGUUCUGCAUGUACCUUACGAAUAAGCAUCGGCUAAUUCCGUGCCAGCAGCAGCCGCCGUAA